GGAAAGGGCCAUAACUCAUUGGUAGAACAUCCUGCUUUAUGUGCAGAAGGUCCCAUGUUCAAUCCCUGGUGCUUCCG